UACGUAGGUGGCAAGCGUUACUCGGAAUCACUAGGCGUAAAGCGCAGGUAGGAGGUUUGGUAAGUCUAUUGUGAAAGCUCCCGGCUUAACUGGGAGAGGUCAAUGGAAACUAUCAGGCUGGAGUGCGGUAGAGGUAGCUGGAAUUCCCGGUGUAGCGGUGAAAUGCGUAGAUAUCGGGAGGAAUACCUAUGGCGAAAGCAGGCUACUGGACCGUCACUGACUCUGAUCUGCGAAAGCUAGGGGAGCAAACAGG
rnacentral:rRNA from 1 species